GUUGCAUUUAUGUAGACACGUUGGGCUUACUGACAGUAAAAGAACAAGAACCCUGACAGUGGUUCAAGGGAUGAUGAUCAAGAAGAAGAUAGAGGAGUAUGUUCAGUUUUUUCAUGUCAUAAUAUUAACUUGUUUUGUAGAUGUUUCGUUUAGAUGAGGAGGAUGCAGAUGCAGAGACGUGGAGGAUGCUGAUGGAGGGACGAGGAGGAUGCUGUUGGAGCAACGAGAAGGAUGCUGUUGGUUCGACGAGGAUGCUGAUGAGCGACCAGGAGGAUGCUGAUGAUGCUGAUGAAGCGACCCGGAGGAUGCUGAUGGAGCGACCAGGAGGAUGCUGAUGGAGCGACCAGGAGGAUGCUGAUGGAGCGACCAGGAGGAUGCUGAUGGAGCGACCAGGUGGAUGCUGAUGGAGCGACCAGGAGGAUGCUGAUGGAGCGACCAGAAGGAUGCUGAUGGAGCGACCAGGAAGAUGCUGAUGGAGCGACCAGGAGGAUGCUGAUGGAGCGACCAGGAGGAUGCUGAUGGAGCGACCAGGAGGAUGCUGAUGGAGCGACCAGGAAGAUGCUGAUGGAGCGACGAGAAGCGCGCUCAUGAAGAGACGAGGAGGAUGCAGAUGAA